UACACAUGCAAGUCGAACGAAAGUUUUUAACUUUAGUGGCGAACGGGUGCGUAAUACGUGAGAAUCUGCCCUUAGGAGGAGUAUAACUGCUGGAAACGGCUGCUAACACUCCAUAUGUCGAGAGAUGAAAUAAUUUAUUGCCUAAGGAUGAGCUCGCGCCUGAUUAGCUAGUUGGUGAGGUAAUGGCUCACCAAGGCCACGAUCAGUAGCUGGUUUGAGAGAACGAUCAGCCACACUGGGACUGAGACACGGUCCAUACUCCUACGGGAGGCAGCAGUAGGGAAUAUUUCACAAUGGGCGAAAGCCUGAUGAAGCAAUACCGCGUGGUCGAUGAAGCUCUUCGGAGUGUAAAGGCCUUUUCUGAAGGAAGAAUUCUGACGGUACUUUAGGAAUAAGCACCGGCUAACUCCGUGCCAGCAGCCGCGGUAAUACGGAGGGUGCAAGCGUUAUCCGGAAUUAUUGGGCGUAAAGCGUCCGCAGGCGGUUCUUUAAGUAUGGUAUCAAAGGCAGCAGCUCAACUGUUGUAUGGUAUUGUAAACUGAAGAACUAGAGUCAUAGAGAGGUGCGUGGAAUUCUGCAUGUAGGGGUUAAAUCCGUAGAUAUGCAGAGGAACACCAAAAGCGAAGGCAGCGCACUGGAUAUGUACUGACGCUCAUGGACGAAAGCGUGGGUAGCGAACAGGAUUUGAUACCCUGGUAGUCCACGCCGUAAACGAUGAUCACUCGGUGUUAGGUUAUUCAAUCGACCUAGUGCCCAAGUUAACACGUUAAGUGAUCCGCCUGAAGAGUACGGUCGCAAGAUUAAAACUCAAAGGAAUAGACGGGGACCCACACAAGCGGUGGAGCAUCUUGUUUAAUUCGAUAAUGAGCGGGGAACCUUACCUGGGCUUGACAUCCCGAAGAUCCGCUAGAGAUAGCAGAGUGCCAUUUGGCACUUCGGUGACAGGUGCUGCAUUACGCCGUCAGCUCGUGCCUUGAGUGUCGGUAAGUCGUAAACGAGCGCACCCUAGUCGUAUGUGUAUUUCUCAUGCGAGACUGCGGCUACAAGUCGGAGGAGUUAGACGACGUCAAUCAGCAUGCGCCUUAUGUCCAGGGCCUAACAAGGUGUCGUCACA
rnacentral:rRNA from 1 species